rnacentral:rRNA from 1 species
AUUGAACGCUGGCGGCAGGCCUAACACAUGCAAGUCGAGCGGAUGAAGGGAGCUUGCUCCUGGAUUCAGCGGCGGACGGGUGAGUAAUGCCUAGGAAUCUGCCUGGUAGUGGGGGAUAACGUCCGGAAACGGGCGCUAAUACCGCAUACGUCCUGAGGGAGAAAGUGGGGGAUCUUCGGACCUCACGCUAUCAGAUGAGCCUAGGUCGGAUUAGCUAGUUGGUGGGGUAAAGGCCCACCAAGGCGACGAUCCGUAACUGGUCUGAGAGGAUGAUCAGUCACACUGGAACUGAGACACGGUCCAGACUCCUACGGGAGGCAGCAGUGGGGAAUAUUGGACAAUGGGCGAAAGCCUGAUCCAGCCAUGCCGCGUGUGUGAAGAAGGUCUUCGGAUUGUAAAGCACUUUAAGUUGGGAGGAAGGGCAGUAAGUUAAUACCUUGCUGUUUUGACGGUACCAACAGAAUAAGCACCGGCUAACUUCGUG